AAUCAAGCAAGACUACUCCCUGAAUUUAAGCAUAUUAUUAAGGGAAGGAAAAGAAAAUAACUAUGAUACCCGCAGUAAUGGCGAAUGAAGUGGGUAAAGCUCAAGCUUAAAAUCUAGUCUCUUUUGAGAUUCGAAUUGUAGUGUAAAUUAACAUUAAUAUGGUCAUGAUAAUUGCCUAAGUGUGAACAUCUGAAUUUCCUAUCAAAGACGGUGAUAAUCCGGUAUGGUAGUUUGAUUGGCUAAAUAUUCUUGUUAUUUAAAGAGUCGAGUUGUUUGGGAUUGCAACUCUAAUAAAGGUGAUAGAUUUCAUCUAAAGCUAAAUAUAUUAGGAAAACCGAUAGCAAAGAAGUACUGUGAAGGAAAGGUGAAAAGAACUUAGAAAAGAGAGUUAAAAGUAGCUUGAAAUUAGUUAAAA
rnacentral:rRNA from 1 species